GGAUAGCUCAUUUGGUAGAGCAGGAGGCUCUUAAUCUGAAGGUUGUGGGUUCGAGUCUCACACACCU